rnacentral:rRNA from 1 species
UACAUGUGGGGCAAGCGUUGUUCGGAAUUACUGGGCAUAAAGGGUGCGUAGGCGGCUUGCCAAGUCGCAGGUGAAAGUUUUCGGCCCAACCGGAAAAGUGCCUGCGAUACUGACGAGCUUGAGUGCGCGAGGGGUUGGGGGAACGAGCAGUGUAGCGGUGAAAUGCGUAGAUAUUGCUCGGAAGGCCGGAGCCGAAGGGGACCAACUGGUACGCAACUGACGCUGAGGCACGAAAGCGUGGGGAGCAAACAGG